CCAUGGUGUGUGUGGUUCUUGCUGGAAUGAGCAUGUUAUUAGCUCAUCGAAUGAUGCCCUCACUCGGCAGGUUUCCUGGCUGUGCUGCUGCCACUCACCCAGAUGGAAGGUGCUGGAUGGUGACUGAUGUCGACAGCGCUGAGGGGAGACCGGAGCAGCUACUGGGACCUACAUACCCACACCUCCAUCCUCCCCUCAUGGGGGUUUACACUCACUUGUGUCCAUGUCCUGGCACUCACACGAACACACAUCAAAUGAAAUGAGAGAACAGCUGACUGCUCCUUUUAUAGUGAUGACUGAAAAAGCAGGGACCUGAAGACUGGACUAAUGGAUACAGAUAUGCAAGUACACAGAUAGAUGAUCUAAGAGCCCAGAUGUCCGAGUACCCUGCUGUCCUUGGGGUGGGUAAGUCAGAAGUUAAAAUAUUGAAUUGCUCACUGGAGAUGCCAAAAGCUCUUCAUUGAGUGUUGAGGGAGCCUCACUAGUUUCUGUAUUUGACACUGCAGGAUGGUGCUUUGCUUGAGGUGGAAGCAGCUGCUUCCCUCAAAUGACAGUGUGACACCUUUACAGUGUGGUAAAAGGCAGCUCAGAAAUAAAGCUGCUGA